rnacentral:rRNA from 1 species
AACGAACGCUGGCGGCAGGCUUAACACAUGCAAGUCGAACGAGAUCUUCGGAUCUAGUGGCAGACGGGUGAGGAACACGUGGGAACAUCCCUUUCAGUUCGGAGUAACGUUGGGAAACUAACGCUAAUACCGGAUACGUCCUUCGGGAGAAAGAUUUAUCGCUGAAAGAUUGGCCCGCGUCUGAUUAGCUAGUUGGUGAGGUAACGGCUCACCAAGGCUACGAUCAGUAGCUGAUCUGAGAGGAUGAUCAGCCACAUUGGGACUGAGACACGGCCCAAACUCCUACGGGAGGCAGCAGUGGGGAAUAUUGGACAAUGGGCGCAAGCCUGAUCCAGCCAUGCCGCGUGAGUGAUGACGGCCUUCGGGUUGUAAAGCUCUUUUGUCCGGGAAGAUAGUGACUGUACCGGAAGAAUAAGCCCCGGCAAACUUCGUGCCAGCCGCCGCUGUAA